rnacentral:tRNA from 1 species
ACCUAGCUGGCUCAGUUGGUGGAGCAUGGAACUCUUAAUCUUGGGGUUGUGAGUUUGAGCCCCAUGUUGGGUA